rnacentral:rRNA from 1 species
CACCUCGAUGUCGGCUCAUCACAUCCUGGGGCUGAAGUAGGUCCCAAGGGUAUGGCUGUUCGCCAUUUAAAGUGGUACGCGAGCUGGGUUUAGAACGUCGUGAGACAGUUCGGUCCCUAUCUGCCGUGGGCGCUGGAGAAUUGAGGGGGGCUGCUCCUAGUACGAGAGGACCGGAGUGGACGCAUCACUGGUGUUCGGGUUGUCAUGCCAAUGGCACUGCCCGGUAGCUAAAUGCGGAAGAGAUAAGUGCUGAAAGCAUCUAAGCACGAAACUUGCCCCGAGAUGAGUUCUCCCUGAGACUUUAAGUCUCCUGAAGGAACGUUGAAGACGACGACGUUGAUAG